rnacentral:rRNA from 1 species
GACGAACGCUGGCGGCGUGCUUAACACAUGCAAGUCGAACGGAAAGACCCUGCUUUUGUGGGGUGCUCGAGUGGCGAACGGGUGAGUAACACGUGAGUAACCUGCCCUUGACUUUGGGAUAACUUCAGGAAACUGGGGCUAAUACCGGAUAGGAGCUCCUGCUGCAUGGUGGGGGUUGGAAAGUUUCGGCGGUUGGGGAUGGACUCGCGGCUUAUCAGCUUGUUGGUGGGGUAGUGGCUUACCAAGGCUUUGACGGGUAGCCGGCCUGAGAGGGUGACCGGCCACAUUGGGCCUGAGAUACGGACCAGACUCCUACGGGAGGCAGCGGUGGGGAAUAUUGCACAAUGAGCGGAAGCCUGAUGCAGCAACGCCGCGUGCGGGAUGACGGCCUUCGGGUUGUAAACCGCUUUCGCCUGUGACGAAGCGUGAGUGACGGUAAUGGGUAAAGAAGCACCGGCUAACUACGUG